rnacentral:rRNA from 1 species
UACGGAGGGUGCGAGCGUUGUCCGGAUUUAUUGGGUUUAAAGGGUGCGUAGGCGGACUAUUAAGUCAGUGGUGAAAGCCUGCAGCUUAACUGCAGAACUGCCAUUGAUACUGAUAGUCUUGAGUUUGGUUAAGGUAGGCGGAACGUGUAAUGUAGCGGUGAAAUGCUUAGAUAUUACACAGAACACCAAUUGCGUAGGCAGCUUACUGAGCCGACACUGACGCUGAGGCACGAAAGCGUGGGGAUCGAACAGGAUUAGA